UUGUUCUGUUUAUCAGGUUUCCCUUUAUCAGAAGAAAAGUGUAUGGAUGUUAUUCAAAUCUGGUUCUACCUUAGCGAAAUAUGGUUGUACUUAUUCUACCUUUUAUUCUGGUUCUGGUUCUUUACCUAUUUGGCUUGAUCGAUACUUUUGUAAUGACUCUAAUUGAUUAAUAUAAUUGUUUUGACGUAAAAAAAAA
rnacentral:sRNA from 1 species